rnacentral:rRNA from 1 species
GCAAAACGCGAAGAACCUUACCUACUCUUGACAUCUAGCGAAGAUUGCAGAGAUGCAGUUGUGCCUUCGGGAACGCUAAGACAGGUGCUGCAUGGCUGUCGUCAGCUCGUGUUGUGAAAUGUUGGGUUAAGUCCCGCAACGAGCGCAACCCUUAUCCUUAGUUGCCAGCACGUAAUGGUGGGAACUCUAGGGAGACUGCCGGUGAUAAACCGGAGGAAGGUGGGGACGACGUCAAGUCAUCAUGGCCCUUACGAGUAGGGCUACACACGUGCUACAAUGGUACGUACAGAGGGAGGCAAGCUGGCGACAGUGAGCGGAUCUCUUAAAGCGUAUCGUAGUCCGGAUCGCAGUCUGCAACUCGACUGCGUGAAGUCGGAAUCGCUAGUAAUCGCAAAUCAGAAUGUUGCGGUGAAUACGUUCCCGGGUCUUGUACACACCG